AUGGAUCUCCAGACCUUCGUGCUGAGGGUGACCAUCCACUGCCAUGGCUGCAAGAAGAAGGUCCGGAAGGUGCUCAAGAGCGUCGAAGGCGUGCAGGACGUGAAGGUGGAUGCCCAGCUGCACAAGGUGAUGGUGACCGGCACCGUGGACGCCGAGACGCUCAUCAAGCGGCUGCACAAGUCGGGCAAGCAGGCCCUGCCAUGGCAACACACGCCUGCCAAGAAUCCCGACCCUGCGCCGCCAGCCCCAGCCGACGCCCCCGCGCCGGCCGGGGACGGCAGCAAGGAUGCUGCUGUGGCCGACAAGAAGCCGGCGGAGCCUGUGAAGGAGCCGCAGGCCGACAGCUCGGACAAGAAGCCGGAGCAGGAGACGGCCCCCGAGAAGAAGCCUGAGGCGGAGAAGGAAGCAGAAUCUGAGAAGAAGGCUGACAAAGAGGAGGAGGCAAAACCAAGCGACGAGGCAAAGCAAGACGGCGGCGAGGGCGAGCCCAAGGCAAAGGGCGCCGAGCCCGCGAGUGAGCCCGCUGCCGCCGCAAAGGAGGCCGGCGGCAAUGACGAGGCCGAGGCGAAGAAGAAACAGAGCAAGCCCAAGGACGCCGAUAGGUCCCUGUCCCAUGCGCCGAUGCACGCGCACCACGAAUUCAACCCGUACGGCGCGCCGCAGCCGGUGAUGAGCUACAACAUGGCGCAGCCGAGAGCGAGCGUGUCCCACUACGCGCCGCGGCCGGAGCAGGGCUACUCGCUGCAGCAGCAGCAGGCCGGGUACUCCUCCUCCUCCAUGAUGCAGCACCCACCGGCGCCGGCGCAGCAGGCCUACUCCCAGCAGGCGCAGCCAAUGCAGCAAUGGUCGCCGUCCUACCUCUACAUGCCGUACCCGCACGCGUCGCCGGAGUCCUACUACCAGGACUACUACAGCCCGCCCGGGACGCACGCGGCGCCGCCACCCCUGCCGCCGCUCCAGGACUCGUACCGCCUGUUCGACGACGAGAACCCCAACUCGUGCAGCGUCAUGUGA
rnacentral:rRNA from 1 species